GUCCACCUGGUCGAGCGUUUGCAAUAAGACGAAGCUCCGCGCGUAGAUCCCCCAACAACUGUACCACUUUGGAAUCGCACUAUCGUCGACUCGAAUCGGUUUUCCCUGAUUUAAAGCGUUCGAGAGAACUAUCAGUCUCCGGGAUAGAUUAUCUUCUGUACACUCCAAUGAUUGAUCUCCCUUCAGAUUCGACUGCGAUUUAAUGGAACAAUGAAGAAUAGCAAGGUAUUUCCUCUUCAUUACGAGUUAAUGCAUCGGUGUACAUACAUAUAAUAUCCUAUAUAAAAUAAUAUUGUACAGCGGUUGUUGCCGCUAUACACUUCAAUUAUCAUUUGGUUAGCUCAAGCAAAUGGGUUAUAUGAUUCACAUACUUGAUAAAUGUGAGUAAAAAAUUGGACACACUGGAUGUAAACACGUAUUAAGAUUUGAAGCUUU